CACGUAGGAGGCGAGCGUUGUCCGGAAUUAUUGGGCGUAAAGCGCGCGCAGGCGGUCCUUUAAGUCUGAUGUGAAAGCCCUCGGCUCAACCGAGGAGGGUCAUUGGAAACUGGAGGACUUGAGUGCAGAAGAGGAAAGUGGAAUUCCAAGUGUAGCGGUGAAAUGCGUAGAGAUUUGGAGGAACACCAGUGGCGAAGGCGACUUUCUGGUCUGUAACUGACGCUGAGGCGCGAAAGCGUGGGGAGCAAACAGG
rnacentral:rRNA from 1 species